CCCAGACUCACUGACUUGGCAUCCUGAUAUGGCCUUGGAUAGGCCUCGUCACCGUGGCCUUGCUGAGUGAACAAAUAAGUGCUGCUGACCCUGACCACCAUCUUGCAAACCAAUUUUGACCCUGGCUUGCUGCUCUGCUCCCUGGCUCCUUGGGUUCAGGAGGACAACAUUCUGCAUGUGUACAAAUGGUCACCAGAUAAUCUCCACAAGUUACUGAAGAUGCCCUCUGACUCCUGGCUUUUCAUCAGCAAGAGACAUGGUGGAGUGAGUGAUAAACGAGUACUGCAUGUUGAUCUUUAUUAUCUUUGAAGAAUACAUCCUCGAGGAGCCUGCUAGAAAGGAACGCACUUACUUCUAAAGACAGCCGCCUCACCUGCAGUACUGUGUCCAGAUGUGGAGUCCUCAGUACAGGAGAGACAUAGACCUGUUGGAGCAUGUCCAGAGGAGGGCCACAAAAAUGAUCCAAGGGAUGGAACACCUCUCCUAUGAGGACAGACUGAAAGAGCUGGAGCUGUUCAGCCUGGAGAACAGAAGGCUCUGAAGUGACCAGAGAUCAGCCUUUCAAUAGCUAAAGGGGAGCUACAGGAAAGGAAGGGGACAGACUCUUUAGUAUAGUCAGUUGUGACAGAACAGGGGGAAAUGGUUUCAAGCUUAAAGAGGGGAGAUUUAGGUUAGAUAUAAGGAAAAAGUCUUUUACAGUGGGGGUGGUAAGGCACAGGUUGCCCAGAGAUGUGGUGAAUACUCCAUCCUUGGAAACUUUUAAGGCGAGGCUGGAUCAGGCCCUGGGCAACCUGAUCAAGCUGUGCAUGUCCCUGUUCAUUGCAGGGGAGCUGGACUAGAUGGCCCUCAGAGGUCACUUCCAACUCUAAGGAUUCUAGGAUUCUGUGAUUCUCAUGAUGCUGCUUUAAUAGUUCAAAGG
ensembl:lncRNA